rnacentral:rRNA from 1 species
AGUGAACGCUGGCGGUAGGCCUAACACAUGCAAGUCGAACGGCAGCACAGUAAUAGCUUGCUCUUACGGGGGGCGAGUGGCGGACGGGUGAGGAAUACAUCGGAAUCUACAUUUUCGAGGGGGAUAACGUAGGGAAACUUACGCUAAUACCGCAUACGAUCUACGGGUGAAAGCAGGUGCUCUUCGGAUCUUGCUUGGUGGAAUGAGCGGAUGUCGGAUCAGUGAGUUGGCGGGGGUCAGAACGACUAAGGGGCCGAGCUGUAGCUGGUCAGAGAGAAUGAUCAGCCACAGUGGAACAGAGAGACGGUCCAGACUCCUACGGGAGGCAGCAGUAGGGAAUAUUGGGCGACGGGCGCAAGCCUGAUCCAGCCAUGCCGGGUGGGUGAAGAAGGCCAUCGCGUGUUAAAGCACUUGUGUUGGGAGAGAAAAGCUGCAGAUUACUACCCCGAUGUGCUGACGGUACCUGAUGAAUAAGCACCGGCUAACUUCGUG